UGACCUCGGAUCAGGUUG
rnacentral:rRNA from 1 species